rnacentral:lncRNA from 1 species
CGUAGCGCCCGAACGUAUAUUCUAGUAAUAAUAUAUAUUAGAUUUCCAUUCAGUUAAAUAUCAUAAGAGAAGAUAGGCUGCUUACUAUCGAAAGUCAGACUCAGUCUGUCUUCUGGCAAGAGAAGUCGUAUCGAGAAAGCGGCAGGCCCAAAGAGCUCUACAGUAGUGCCUUGCUCAAUAAUUUCAAUGCAACUGUGCAGAGACUAAUGGGGCGUAGUUGUGCAAGACUUUCUGGGUUAUCUAUUUUGGGGAUCAACGUGAUGAGUGUAUGGUUCAUUUCAAAGGGGAAGGACCCUUCAGAGAAGGCAUACUGCACAAACUUGAUUAAAUCCUCGCCAAC